rnacentral:rRNA from 1 species
CGGGUGAGUAACACGUGGGCAAUCUGCCCUGCACUCUGGGAUAACUCCGGGAAACCGGAGCUAAUACCGGAUACGAUCCUCCAGGGCAUCCUGGGGGGUGGAAAGCUCCGGCGGUGCAGGAUGAGCCCGCGGCCUAUCAGCUGGUUGGUGGGGUGACGGCCCACCAAGGCGACGACGGGUAGCCGGCCUGAGAGGGCGACCGGCCACACUGGGACUGAGACACGACCCAGACUCAUACGGGAGGCAGCAGUGGGGAAUAUUGCACAAUGGGCGCAAGCCUGAUGCAGCGACGCCGCGUGAGGGAUGACGGCCUUCGGGUUGUAAACCUCUUUCAGCAGGGAAGAAGCGCGAGUGACGGUACCUGCAGAAGAAGCACCGGCUAACUACGUGCCAGCAGCCGCGGUAAUACGUAGGGUGCGAGCGUUGUCCGGAAUUAUUGGGCGUAAAGAGCUCGUAGGCGGCCUGUCGCGUCGGAUGUGAAAGCCCGGGGCUUAACCCCGGGUCGGCAUUCGAUACGGGCAGGCUAGAGUUCGAUAGGGGAGAUCGGAAUUCCUGGUGUAGCGGUGAAAUGCGCAGAUAUCAGGAGGAACACCGGUGGCGAAGGCGGAUCUCUGAGACAGAUACUGACGCUGAGGAGCGAAAGCGUGGGGAGCGAACAGCAUUAGAUACCCUGGUAGUCCACGGCGUAAACGUUGGGCACUAGGUGUGGGCGGCAUUCCACGUCGUCCGUGCCGCAGCUAACGCAUUAAGGGCCCCGCCUGGGGAGUACGGCCGCAAGGCUAAAACUCAAAGGAUUUGACGGGGGCCCGCA